rnacentral:rRNA from 1 species
UACGUAGGGUGCAAGCGUUGUCCGGAAUUAUUGGGCGUAAAGAGCUCGUAGGCGGUCUGUUACGUCGGAUGUGAAAACCCGAGGCUUAACCUCGGGCCUGCAUUCGAUACGGGCAGACUCGAGUGUGGUAGGGGAGACUGGAACUCCUGGUGUAGCGGUGAAAUGCGCAGAUAUCAGGAGGAACACCGGUGGCGAAGGCGGGUCUCUGGGCCGAUACUGACGCUGAGGAGCGAAAGCGUGGGGAGCGAACAG